rnacentral:rRNA from 1 species
AUUGAACGCUGGCGGCAUGCUUUACACAUGCAAGUCGAACGGCAACGAGGAGAAGCUUGCUUCUCUGUCGGCGAGUGGCGAACGGGUGAGUAUAGCAUCGGAACGUGCCAAGUAGUGGGGGAUAACCAAACGAAAGUUUGGCUAAUACCGCGUAAGCUCCACGGAGGAAAGUAGGGGACCUAAAUAAGGCCUUACGCUAUUUGAUCGGCCGAUGUCGGAUUAGCUAGUUGGUGGGGUAAUGGCUCACCAAGGCAAUGAUCCGUAGCGGGUCUGAGAGGACGAUCCGCCACACUGGGACUGAGACACGGACAAGACUCCUACGGGAGGCAGCAGUGGGGAAUGUUGGACAAUGGGGGAAACCCUGAUCCAGCCAUGCCGCGUGUAUGAAGAAGGCCUUAGGGUUGUAAAGUACUUUUGUUAGGGAAGAAAAGCUAGUUUUUAAUAAAAAGUAGUGAUGACGGUACCUAAAGAAUAAGCACCGGCUAACUACGUG